UCUGGAGUUUGGCAGAGGGGGGUGGAAUUCCACGUGUAGCAGUGAAAUGCGUAGAGAUGUGGAGGAACACCAAUGGCGAAGGCAGCCCCCUGGGUCGAUACUGACGCUCAUGCACGAAAGCGUGGGUAGCAAACAGGAUUAGAUACCCUGGUAGUCCACGCCCUAAACGAUGUCAACUAGGUGUUGGGAGGGUAAAACCUUUUAGUGCCGUAGCUAACG
rnacentral:rRNA from 1 species